rnacentral:rRNA from 1 species
GACGAACGCUGGCGGCGUGCUUAACACAUGCAAGUCGAACGGAAAGGCCCUGCUUUUGUGGGGUGCUCGAGUGGCGAACGGGUGAGUAACACGUGAGUAACCUGCCCUUGACUUUGGGAUAACUUCAGGAAACUGGGGCUAAUACCGGAUAGGAGCUCCUGCUGCAUGGUGGGGGUUGGAAAGUUUCGGCGGUUGGGGAUGGACUCGCGGCUUAUCAGCUUGUUGGUGGGGUAGUGGCUUACCAAGGCUUUGACGGGUAGCCGGCCUGAGAGGGUGACCGGCCACAUUGGGCCUGAGAUACGGCCCAGACUCCUACGGGAGGCAGCGGUGGGGAAUAUUGCACAAUGGGCGGAAGCCUGAUGCAGCAACGCCGCGUGCGGGAUGACGGCCUUCGGGUUGUAAACCGCUUUCGCCUGUGACGAAGCGUGAGUGACGGUAAUGGGUAAAGAAGCACCGGCUAACUACGUG